rnacentral:rRNA from 1 species
CGGGACGGGUGAGUAAUGUCUGGGAAACUGCCUGAUGGAGGGGGGUAACUACUGGAAACGGUAGCUAAUACCGCAUAACGUCGCAAGACCAAAGAGGGGGACCUUCGGGCCUCUUGCCAUCGGAUGUGCCCAGAUGGGAUUGCUAGUAGGUGGGGUAACGGCUCACCUAGGCGACGAUCCCUAGCUGGUCUGAGAGGAUGCCAGCCACACUGGAACUGAGACACGGUCCAG